UACGGAGGGGGCUAGCGUUGUUCGGAAUUACUGGGCGUAAAGCGCACGUAGGCGGCUUUGUAAGUUAGAGGUGAAAGCCCGGGGCUCAACCCCGGAAUUGCCUUUAAGACUGCAUCGCUAGAAUUGUGGAGAGGUAAGUGGAAUUCCGAGUGUAGAGGUGAAAUUCGUAGAGAUCGGGAGGAACACCGGUGGCGAAGGCGGGUCUCUGGGCAAUUCCUGACGCUGAGGAGCGAAAGCGUGGGGAGCGAACAGG
rnacentral:rRNA from 1 species